UACGGAGGGUGCAAGCGUUAUCCGGAUUCACUGGGUUUAAAGGGUGCGUAGGCGGGUUGGUAAGUCCGUGGUGAAAUCCCCAAGCUUAACUUGGGAACUGCCGUGGAUACUAUCAAUCUUGAAUAUCGUGGAGUAAGCGGAAUAUGUCAUGUAGCGGUGAAAUGCUUAGAUAUGACAUAGAACACCAAUUGCGUAGGCAGCUUACUACACGAUCAUUGACGCUGAGGCACGAAAGCGUGGGGAGCAAACAGG
rnacentral:rRNA from 1 species